rnacentral:piRNA from 1 species
UUCCUGGACUCAGUGGCAAUGUGAAGCCAUC